GGAGGACAGAGCAGAGUCUUCAGUAUCCAGCUGUCUGUCUAUGAAGAGUGAUGACUCCAAAGAUCUUCCUAUAGCCUUCAGUGAUGAACCUGGACCCUCAGACACAAAAGAGAGGAAGAGGAGUCGUCCUGUGGAGGAAAGAUCCAGAACAAGACCUGGACUGCAGACAGUCAGUCAGACCAGCACUGUCAAAUGAGUGCUGGUCUGCAGGAGUUUUAGAUAAAUAUAAGUUCAUUCAGAAAUGAGAUGUGAACAUGUGACUGAAGGAAGUGAUGAAACAGGAAGUGGAACCCUCCUCCACAGGAUCUACACUGAGCUCUACAUCACAGAGGGAAGAGUGAGAGGUUAACACCCAACAUGAGGUGAGGCAGCUUGAGACAGUUUCCAAGAUGGGACCCUCCAUGA